rnacentral:rRNA from 1 species
GACGAACGCUGGCGGCGUGCCUAAUACAUGCCAGUUGAGCGAUGAAGAUUGGUGCUUGCACCAAUUUGAAGAGCAGCGAACGGGUGAGUAACGCGUGGGGAAUCUGCCUUUGAGCGGGGGACAACAUUUGGAAACGAAUGCUAAUACCGCAUAACAACUUUAAACAUAAGUUUUAAGUUUGAAAGAUGCAAUUGCAUCACUCAAAGAUGAUCCCGCGUUGUAUUAGCUAGUUGGUGAGGUAAAGGCUCACCAAGGCGAUGAUACAUAGCCGACCUGAGAGGGUGAUCGGCCACAUUGGGACUGAGACACGGCCCAAACUCCUACGGGAGGCAGCAGUAGGGAAUCUUCGGCAAUGGACGAAAGUCUGACCGAGCAACGCCGCGUGAGUGAAGAAGGUUUUCGGAUCGUAAAACUCUGUUGGUAGAGAAGAACGUUGGUGAGAGUGGAAAGCUCAUCAAGUGACGGUAACUACCCAGAAAGGGACGGCUAACUACGUG